GGCGACCGGGGCACGGGUGAGUAACACGUGUGGGACCUGCCCCCCGCAGGGGGAUAACCGGGAGAAAUCCCGACUAAUACCGCGUAACGCCGCGGGGCUGCAUGGCCCCGCGGCCAAAGGAAGCGAUUCCGGCGGGGGAUGGGCAUGCGGCGCAUUAGCUAGUCGGCGGGGUAACGGCCCACCGAGGCGACGAUGCGUAGGGGUUCUGAGAGGAAGGUCCCCCACACUGGUACUGAGACACGGACCAGACUCCUGCGGGAGGCAGCAGUGAGGAAUAUUGGUCAAUGGGCGUAAGCCUGAACCAGCCAAGUCGCGUGAGGGAAGACGGUCCUACGGAUUGUAAACCUCUUUUGCCGGGGAGCAACGGGGUCCUUGCGAGGGCCUUAUGAGAGUACCCGGAGAAAAAGCAUCGGCUAACUCCGUGCCAGCAGCCGCGGUAAUACGGAGGAUGCGAGCGUUAUCCGGAUUUAUUGGGUUUAAAGGGUGCGUAGGCGGGCUGUUAAGUCAGCGGUCAAAUGUCGGGGCUCAACCCCGGCCUGCCGUUGAAACUGGCGGCCUCGAGUGGGCGAGAAGUAUGCGGAAUGCGUGGUGUAGCGGUGAAAUGCAUAGAUAUCACGCAGAACUCCGAUUGCGAAGGCAGCAUACCGGCGCCCGACUGACGCUGAGGCACGAAAGCGUGGGUAUUGAACAGGAUUAGAUACCCUGGUAGUCCACGCAGUAAACGAUGAAUGCUAGCUGUCCGGUUC
rnacentral:rRNA from 1 species